rnacentral:rRNA from 1 species
GACGAACGCUGGCGGCGUGCUUAACACAUGCAAGUCGAACGGUGAAGCGCCUUCCUUUUUGGUGGGUGUGGAUGAGUGGCGAACGGGUGAAUAACACGUGAGUAACCUGCCCCCUUCUUCUGGAUAACCGCAUGAAAGUGUGGCUAAUACGGGAUAUUCUGGGUCUGUCGCAUGAUGGGUCUGGGAAAGAUAUUGUUUCGGUGGGGGAUGGGCUCGCGGCCUAUCAGCUUGUUGGUGGGGUGAUGGCCUACCAAGGCGGUGACGGGUAGCCGGCCUGAGAGGGUGGACGGUCACACUGGGGCUGAGCCACGGCCCAGACUCCUACGGGAGGCAGCAGUGGGGAAUAUUGCACAAUGGGCGCAAGCCUGAUGCAGCGACGCCGCGUGAGGGAUGGAGGCCUUCGGGUUGUGAACCUCUUUCGCCAGUGAAGCAGGCCUGCCUCGUUUGUGGGUGGGUUGACGGUAGCUGGAUAAGAAGCGCCGGCUAACUACGUG